rnacentral:rRNA from 1 species
AGAGUUUGAUCAUGGCUCAGAUUGAACGCUGGCGGCAGGCCUAACACAUGCAAGUCGAACGGUAACAGGAAGCAGCUUGCUGCUUUGCUGACGAGUGGCGGACGGGUGAGUAAUGUCUGGGAAACUGCCUGAUGGAGGGGGAUAACUACUGGAAACGGUAGCUAAUACCGCAUAACGUCGCAAGACCAAAGAGGGGGACCUUCGGGCCUCUUGCCAUCGGAUGUGCCCAGAUGGGAUUAGCUAGUAGGUGGGGUAAAGGCUCACCUAGGCGACGAUCCCUAGCUGGUCUGAGAGGAUGACCAGCCACACUGGAACUGAGACACGGUCCAGACUCCUACGGGAGGCAGCAGUGGGGAAUAUUGCACAAUGGGCGCAAGCCUGAUGCAGCCAUGCCGCGUGUAUGAAGAAGGCCUUCGGGUUGUAAAGUACUUUCAGCGGGGAGGAAGGGAGUAAAGUUAAUACCUUUGCUCAUUGACGUUACCCGCAGAAGAAGCACCGGCUAACUCCGUGCCAGCAGCCGCGGUAAUACGGAGGGUGCAAGCGUUAAUCGGAAUUACUGGGCGUAAAGCGCACGCAGGCGGUUUGUUAAGUCAGAUGUGAAAUCCCCGGGCUCAACCUGGGAACUGCAUCUGAUACUGGCAAGCUUGAGUCUCGUAGAGGGGGGUAGAAUUCCAGGUGUAGCGGUGAAAUGCGUAGAGAUCUGGAGGAAUACCGGUGGCGAAGGCGGCCCCCUGGACGAAGACUGACGCUCAGGUGCGAAAGCGCGGGAGCAAACAGGAUUAGAUACCCUGGUAGUCCAC